rnacentral:rRNA from 1 species
UGCUGACAUGAGUAACGACAAUGGGUGUGAAAAACACCCACGCCGAAAGACCAAGGGUUCCUGCGCAACGUUAAUCGACGCAGGGUUAGUCGGUUCCUAAGGCGAGGCUGAAAAGCGUAGUCGAUGGGAAACAGGUUAAUAUUCCUGUACUUCUGGUUACUGCGAUGGAGGGACGGAGAAGGCUAGGCCAGCUUGGCGUUGGUUGUCCAAGUUUAAGGUGGUAGGCUGAAAUCUUAGGUAAAUCCGGGGUUUCAAGGCCGAGAGCUGAUGACGAGUCGUCUUUUAGAUGACGAAGUGGUUGAUGCCAUGCUUCCAAGAAAAGCUUCUAAGCUUCAGGUAACCAGGAACCGUACCCCAAACCGACACAGGUGGUCGGGUAGAGAAUACCAAGGCGCUUGAGAGAACUCGGGUGAAGGAACUAGGCAAAAUGGCACCGUAACUUCGGGAGAAGGUGCGCCGGCUAGGGUGAAGGAUUUACUCCGUAAGCUCUGGCUGGUCGAAGAUACCAGGCCGCUGCGACUGUUUAUUAAAAACACAGCACUCUGCAAACACGAAAGUGGACGUAUAGGGUGUGACGCCUGCCCGGUGCCGGAAGGUUAAUUGAUGGGGUUAGCGCAAGCGAAGCUCUUGAUCGAAGCCCCGGUAAACGGCGGCCGUAACUAUAACGGUCCUAAGGUAGCGAAAUUCCUUGUCGGGUAAGUUCCGACCUGCACGAAUGGCGUAACGAUGGCGGCGCUGUCUCCACCCGAGACUCAGUGAAAUUGAAAUCGCUGUGAAGAUGCAGUGUAUCCGCGGCUAGACGGAAAGACCCCGUGAACCUUUACUGUAGCUUUGCACUGGACUUUGAGCCUGCUUGUGUAGGAUAGGUGGGAGGCUUUGAAGCGUGGACGCCAGUUCGCGUGGAGCCAUCCUUGAAAUACCACCCUGGCAUGCUUGAGGUUCUAACUCUGGUCCGUGAUCCGGAUCGAGGACAGUGUAUGGUGGGCAGUUUGACUGGGGCGGUCUCCUCCUAAAGAGUAACGGAGGAGUACGAAGGUGCGCUCAGACCGGUCGGAAAUCGGUCGCAGAGUAUAAAGGCAAAAGCGCGCUUGACUGCGAGACAGACACGUCGAGCAGGUACGAAAGUAGGUCUUAGUGAUCCGGUGGUUCUGUAUGGAAGGGCCAUCGCUCAACGGAUAAAAGGUACUCCGGGGAUAACAGGCUGAUACCGCCCAAGAGUUCAUAUCGACGGCGGUGUUUGGCACCUCGAUGUCGGCUCAUCACAUCCUGGGGCUGAAGCCGGUCCCAAGGGUAUGGCUGUUCGCCAUUUAAAGUGGUACGCGAGCUGGGUUUAGAACGUCGUGAGACAGUUCGGUCCCUAUCUGCCGUGGACGUUUGAGAUUUGAGAGGGGCUGCUCCUAGUACGAGAGGACCGGAGUGGACGAACCUCUGGUGUUCCGGUUGUCACGCCAGUGGCAUUGCCGGGUAGCUAUGUUCGGAAAAGAUAACCGCUGAAAGCAUCUAAGCGGGAAACUUGCCUCAAGAUGAGAUCUCACUGGGAACUUGAUUCCCCUGAAGGGCCGUCGAAGACUACGACGUUGAUAGGCUGGGUGUGUAAGCGUUGUGAGGCGUUGAGCUAACCAGUACUAAUUGCCCGUGAGGCUUGACCAU